CGCGUAGGCGGUUUGGCAAGUUGGAUGUGAAAGCCCCGGGCUCAACCCGGGAAUUGCAUUCAAGACUGCCUUGCUUGAAUUCGGUAGAGGUUGGUGGAAUUUCCAGUGUAGAGGUGAAAUUCGUAGAGAUUGGAAAGAACACCCGUGGCGAAGGCGGCCAACUGGACCGACAUUGACGCUGAGGCGCGAAAGCGUGGGGAGCAAACAGGAUUAGAUACCCUGGUAGUCCACGCCGUAAACGAUGCAUGCUAGACGUUGAACCCCUCAGGGGAUCAGUGUCGCAGCUAACGCACUAAGCAUGCCGCCUGGGGAGUACGGCCGCAAGGUUGAA
rnacentral:rRNA from 1 species